CAGCACCUCAAGUGGUCAGGAUGAUUAUUGGGCCUAAAGCAUCCGUAGCCUGCUUUGUUAGUUUUCGGUUAAAUCCAUACGCUCAACGUACAGGCUGCCGGGAAUACUGCAGCGCUAGGGAGUGGGAGAGGUAGACGGUACUCGGUAGGAAGGGGUAAAAUCCUUUGAUCUAUUGAUGACCACCUGUGGCGAAGGCGGUCUACCAGAACACGUCCGACGGUGAGGGAUGAAAGCUGGGGGAGCAAACCGGAUUAGAUACCCGCGUAGUCC
rnacentral:rRNA from 1 species